AGAAAUUCCAUGAGCCAUAAUUGGAGAAACAUGGCAUUAGACAGAAGCACCAUUAAGGCAUCACCCUUGUCUGUCAUCUUCCCCACUAUUACCCAAGCUAUAGCAUAGAGCUUGGAACAUAGUAAGCCCUUAGUACAUACAUCUGAAUAAAUGAAUGAAUGUAUAUGGUUAAGCUCCACAAUCAAUGAUGAAAGCAAGAUGUGACAUAAAAAUUCAGAAAUAUAAUCAGCUUCUCUCUUUAAAAAUCAGGUUCCCUUGGGUGAAGUCAGAAGAUAAUGUAAACGACACUGUGCAGGGUGCUUCAUUCAGAAAUAUUCUUCUCUGUGGAUUGAGGUCCUGGAUCUUGGUAAAUGUAACUGAACUCUUCUGCUGCAGGAUCUUGCUUUUUAUAUGGCAUUUUUGUAAUGACCUGUAUGCAGACUGAGAAGAUCAAAACAUGUUCUGGAUAUCGUUACUCAUUUCUGGAGAAACAUCUGAUCAACUCAAGGAUCAUCAAACUUACGCACAAAGUCUGACCAGUUGGUC
rnacentral:lncRNA from 1 species